ACGGGGGGGCACAAGCGGUGGAGCAUGUGGUUUAAUUUGAAGCAACGCGAAGAACCUUACCAGGCCUUGACAUGCAGAGAACUUUCCAGAGAUGGAUUGGUGCCUUCGGGAAUUCUGACACAGGUGCUGCAUGGCUGUCGUCAGUUCGUGUCGUGAGAUGUUGGGUUAAGUCCCGUAACGAGCGCAACCCUUUUCCUUAGUUACCAGCACGUUAAGGUGGGCACUCUAAGGAGACUGCCGGUGACAAACCGGAGGAAGGUGGGGAUGACGUCAAGUCAUCAUGGCCCUUACGGCUUGGGCUACACACGUGCUACAAUGGUCGGUACAAAGGGUUGCCAACCCGAGAGGUGGAGCUAUUCCCAUAAACCCGAUCGUAGUCCGGAUCGCCAGUCUGCAACUCGCGGUGGGGAG
rnacentral:rRNA from 1 species